AACUUGUUAGUAUGCUUUAAGUUACAUUUUGGAGUAAUUUUUAAGUGUACUUCUUCAUGCUUGCAACAGAAAGUAAUAAAACAUAUGAUAAAUGCAUUUAAAGCCCAUUUAAAACAUUAUUAAAUGAAGUGUAUGCAUACAAAAGGCUACUCUUGUAAUUGUGAUUUAAGUAUUUUAAUAAAUUUAUACAAUGUCACAGAGAGGUCCAUGUACAUCAAUGCAUUUAUAAUUUUAUACCAACAGCACACCAUAGGAACACUAGAAAAAGAGUUAUACACUGUAAAACCAAAUAGUAUUCCUUGCUAUAAAAAUACUAGUAAGUUUACUCUAUUUUAACCAAAAUGUUGAGUUUACUCAAUUUUUUUCAUUGUUGCUGAAAUAUUAGAACAGAUAGUUUCCAUAACUAAUGAAAUUUAAGUAAAAUUACUCAAAAUGUCCAAGACAUGCUGUUACGCAUGCGCACUGGGCGACAAUUGUCCCUCCCCCACGUCGCAGAAGCACAACGGCUGAAGAUUCAACGUGUGUUUGCAGAGGAUCUAUUUCGGUAAAAUCAAGAAUACCAGUUGAUGACUGCUGUGCAGUGGAAAUAUCGAUCAUCUUUCUUGAUAAAACCUCAGUAUAUCAGGAGCAACAGGCCACAUUUUCAGCUAAAAAUCUUCUUUGCUGUUCUGCUGAAGAAAAGUACUCAUGAACAUCUUGGGUGGCGUAAGGAUCUUUGCAGGAUUCAGUCGCAUAUCUCGGAUCUGAGUUCUGCGCAGCACUGGACACAGACUCUGCACUUUUGACAUUUUCUAGAAAAAAGGAUUUUAAAUUUCACAUCAAGUUAAUUAAAAGGUAUUUCUUUAUCAUGUUGACUGUAGUUGUCAUCUUUAAAUCAUGAUUUGCUUAUGAUUGUUAUCCUCAGCCUGUCUCUAUUUUUUCAUAGUCAUCUGACGUUUCCACUGCAGUACUUCAGGGCCUUUCAGUCAUCCUGGAGGAUGACCCAGAGGAAUUUUACAGGAUGUGUUUCGUAAGUAUUACUGGAUUUUCUGCUCUCAUCAUUUUGUUUUAUUCAAUAUGAAUAUAGUUCUGGUUAUGAAAAAUUGUCAAAGGUUCUGUGUAUUUUUUUUUUU